GACGGAGGAUGCAAGCGUUAUCCGGAAUGAUUGGGCGUAAAGCGUCUGCAGGUGGCAGUUCAAGUCUGCUGUCAAAGACCGGGGCUUAACUUCGGAAAGGCAGCGGAAACUGAACAGCUAGAGUAUGGUAGGGGCAGAGGGAAUUCCUGGUGUAGCGGUGAAAUGCGUAGAGAUCAAGGAGGAACACCGGUGGCGAAGGCGGUUCUCUGGGCAUUACCUGACGCUGAGGAGCGAAAGUGUGGGGAGCGAACAGGA
rnacentral:rRNA from 1 species